rnacentral:rRNA from 1 species
UGAGGAAUAUUGGUCAAUGGUCGCUAGACUGAACCAGCCAAGUAGCGUGCGGGAUGAAGGCCCUCCGGGUCGUAAACCGCUUUUAGACGGGGAUAAAAGGGCGUACGUGUACGCCGUAUUGCAUGUACCGUCAGAAAAAGGACCGGCUAAUUCCGUGCCAGCAGCCGCGGUAAUACGGAAGGUCCGGGCGUUAUCCGGAUUUAUUGGGUUUAAAGGGAGCGUAGGCGGACUUUCAAGUCAGUGGUAAAAUCGUGUGGCUCAACCAUACCUCGCCAUUGAAACUGGAAGUCUGGAGUGCACACAGGGUGCCGGAAUUCAUGGUGUAGCGGUGAAAUGCUUAGAUAUCAUGAAGAACUCCGAUCGCGAAGGCAAGUGCCCGGGGUGCAACUGAGCGCUGAGGCUCGAAGGUGCGGGUAUCGAACAGGAUUAGAUACC